AUAGCGUAUAUUAAAGUUGUUGCGGUUAAAAAGCUCGUAGUUGGAUCUCGGUGCCGGACCGGCGGUCCGCCUCGUGCGGUCUCACUGCCGGCCCCGGAGCCAUCCCGCCGGCCGUCCCUCGGUGCUCUUCGCUGAGUGUCUUGGGUGACCGGAACGUUUACUUUGAACAAAUUAGAGUGCUCCAAGCAGGCGAGCAAAGCCUGAAUAGCCCAGCAUGGAAUAAUGGAAUAGGACCUCGGUUCUAUUUUGUUGGUUUUCGGAACCCGAGGUAAUGAUUAACAGGGACAGACGGGGGCAUUCGUAUUGCGACGCUAGAGGUGAAAUUCUUGGACCGUCGCAAGACGAACUACUG
rnacentral:rRNA from 1 species